rnacentral:misc_RNA from 1 species
GUGAUCUCCAAAAAAUUCAUAACAAAUGGCUGACACAUGCAGAGUGCUCUAUGCAAAUCAAUGAAGUUGAUGAAAACCGACUCUCCUUGAGCAGCUUCUGGGGUUUGUUCUUGAUAUGUGGCUUUGCUUGCUUCAUUGCUCUUACUAUAUUCUUCUGUAGGGUACUUUGUCAGUACCGUAAAUUUGCUCAGGACGAUGGUGAAGUUAGGGAGGUGGAGGAGAUUCAGCGGGCAAGACCUAGACGCUCGCUGUGCUCCUUCAAAGAUCUGAUUGAUUUUGCUGAUAGGAAAGAAGAAGAGAUUAAGGAGAUGCUCAGGCGAAAGGGUAGUGAUAGCAAGAGACAAGCUAGCCCCAGCACAGAGGAACGUUCAC